AUUGAACGCUGGCGGCAUGCCUUACACAUGCAAGUCGAACGGUAACAGGUCUUCGGAUGCUGACGAGUGGCGAACGGGUGAGUAAUGCAUCGGAACGUGCCCAGUAGUGGGGGAUAGCCCGGCGAAAGCCGGAUUAAUACCGCAUACGACCUGAGGGUGAAAGGGGGGGAUCGCAAGACCUCUCGCUAUUGGAGCGGCCGAUGUCAGAUUAGCGAGUUGGUGGGGUAAAGGCCUACCAAGGCAACGAUCUGUAGUUGGUCUGAGAGGACGACCAGCCACACUGGGACUGAGACACGGCCCAGACUCCUACGGGAGGCAGCAGUGGGGAAUUUUGGACAAUGGGCGCAAGCCUGAUCCAGCAAUGCCGCGUGCAGGAAGAAGGCCUUCGGGUUGUAAACUGCUUUUGUCAGGGAAGAAAUCUUCUGGGUUAAUACCUCGGGAGGAUGACGGUACCUGAAGAAUAAGCACCGGCUAACUACGUGCCAGCCGCCGCCGUAACAC
rnacentral:rRNA from 1 species